rnacentral:rRNA from 1 species
AUUGAACACUGGCGGCAGGCCUAACACAUGCAAGUCGAGCGGCAGCGGAAAGUAGCUUGCUACUUUGCCGGCGAGCGGCGGACGGGUGAGGAAUGUCUGGGAAACUGCCUGAUGGAGGGGGAUAACUACUGGAAACGGUAGCUAAUACCGCAUAACGUCGCAAGACCAAAGAGGGGGACCUUCGGGCCGCUUGCCAUCAGAUGUGCCCAGAUGGGAUUAGCUAGUAGGUGGGGUAACGGCUCACCUAGGCGACGAUCCCUAGCUGGUCUGAGAGGAUGACCAGCCACACUGGAACUGAGACACGGUCCAGACUCCUACGGGAGGCAGCAGUGGGGAAUAUUGCACAAUGGGCGCAAGCCUGAUGCAGCCAUGCCGCGUGUAUGAAGAAGGCCUUCGGGUUGUAAAGUACUUUCAGCGGGGAGGAAGGUGUUGAGGUUAAUAACCUCAGCAAUUGACGUUACCCGCAGAAGAAGCACCGGCUAACUCCGUGCCAGCCGCCGCCGUAACAC